UGGGAAAACUUCUCGUUGUAUUGACUCUUCUCUGUCUGGUGGCCCUGACGACCGCUUAUCCUCCUUACGAACAGCAACAACACCACUAUCGUCGCAGCUGUCGUCAUGACUUUGAUUGUCAAUACAGAGAAUAUUGUAAAAUUGUGUCCUUCAUCCCCUAUAAGCUUGGCUACUGCUGUAUGCGCAAUUGGAAUGGAAGAUAAAAUUAGGGGAAGAAUGGAAAAAGGUAGAUGAUUGGCUAAUUGACAAAACCCCUUGAUAUUUCAAAUAAAUUUCAACUUGCA